GCCUGUGGCUGUACCACCCUGAACAUGCCCAGUCUUUACCUGAUCUUCAAAGCUAAGCAGGAUUGGUCCUGGCUAGUACUUGGAUGGGCGAUCCAGAAGUGUUGGAAGUUUGAGGUC
rnacentral:rRNA from 1 species